UACGGAGGGUGCAAGCGUUAAUCGGAAUUACUGGGCGUAAAGCGCACGCAGGUGGCUGAGUCAGUCGAUUGUGAAAGCCCUGGGCUUAACCUGGGAAUUGCAGUCGAUACUACUCAGCUAGAGUAUGGGAGAGGGUAGUGGAAUUCCCGGUGUAGCGGUGAAAUGCGUAGAUAUCGGAAGGAACACCAGUGGCGAAGGCGGCUACCUGGCUUAAUACUGACGCUGAGGCACGAAAGCGUGGGGAGCAAACAGGAUUAAGAUGA
rnacentral:rRNA from 1 species